rnacentral:rRNA from 1 species
AGCGAACGCUGGCGGCAGGCCUAACACAUGCAAGUCGAACGAAGUCUUCGGACUUAGUGGCGGACGGGUGAGUAACACGUGGGAACGUGCCUUUAGGUUCGGAAUAACUCAGGGAAACUUGUGCUAAUACCGAAUGUGCCCUUCGGGGGAAAGAUUUAUCGCCUUUAGAGCGGCCCGCGUCUGAUUAGCUAGUUGGUGGGGUAAUGGCCCACCAAGGCUACGGUCAGUAGCUGGUCUGAGAGGAUGACCAGCCACAUUGGGACUGAGACACGGCCCAAACUCCUACGGGGGGCAGCAGUGGGGAAUCUUGCGCAAUGGGCGAAAGCCUGACGCAGCCAUGCCGCGUGGAUGAUGAAGGUCUUAGGAUUGUAAAAUCCUUUCACCGGUGAAGAUAAUGACUGUAGUCGGAGAAGAAGCCCCGGCUAACUACGUGCCAGCCGCCGCGGUAACAC